UUCCCCUCCAUCUCUUGUUCGACAAAGUGAAAGUGAAAUACAAAAAAUUUGUUAGUGUUGCGCUGUUUGCUGCUGGUGUUGAAACCUUCAAAGAAAUAAUUAAAUAAAUACAUAGCCAGAGGCAUAAAUAAAUUUGCACAACAAAGCGGUAGCUAAAAACGUUUGGCAAACAAAAUGUGUGGUGGAUUCACCUGCUCGAAGAACGCGCUAAUUGCGCUGAACAUUUUAUAUGUGAUGAUUGGAUUCUUGCUGAUUGGCGUCGGAGUUUAUGCAAGGGCAGCGUCUGUGGUCACGAAUCUGCCAAUUGUUGGAGGCAUCUUGGCCUGCGGCGUGAUACUCAUCUGCAUAUCCAUGCUGGGCCUUGCUGGCGCUGUGAAGCAUCAUCAAGUGAUGCUCUUCUUUUACAUGAUCAUUCUGUUCAUGCUGUUCCUCAUCCAGUUCUCCAUCGCCAGCUCUUGCCUCGCCGUCAAUGCCGAGCAGCAGCAACAGUUUGCCGAACAGGGUUGGAAGACGGUGCCGCCAAAUCUGCGAGAACAAGUUCAAGAGAAAUUCCUUUGCUGUGGCUUCAACGAUACCAUCGAUCACACCGCCAGCAUCAGCAAUGCGAUCACUGUGAACUCUGAUCCCAGUUGCGAGGAUGUGAAUAAGCAAUGCUGCGUGGACUCGCAGGAUCCUAAAUGCCAUUGCGGUCCUUGUGGUCCGCUGUUGGAGGAUAAAAUCGAUUAUGCCUUCAAGUUGUGCGGCGGCUUGGGCAUCUUCUUUAGCUUCACCGAGUUCGUUGGUGUCUGGCUAACAGUGCGCUAUCGCAAUCAAAAGGAUCCGCGCGGCUUGCCCAGCGCCUUCCUCUAAAUUGCAAAAACAAAACACUAAUCACUAAUCACUAAUCCAAUAACAUAAACAAAAACACCCAUAAAAAGACACAUCAUAUUGCUAAAUUGUUUGUGUCCCUCCCUCUAAAAAAAGAAAGAAAAAAAUAACAAAACGUUGAUGUCAAUGUGUAAAUUUCAUAUUCAUAGCGAGAAUAAUCGUGGGUCUGUUAGAUCAUCAUCAAAUACAUACAUCAUAUAUACGCAUCAUUUAUAUUUAUACUCAAAGUAAACAUCAUACCUUUAGAAAUACUAUAUAUUCAGAUAUAUAUAUACAUAUAUACAAAAACCAAAAAAAAAUGAUAUAGCUACGUGUUUAAUCCUUUUAACAAAACGCAAGCAAUCAAGUGUUUUUUCGAACUGAACAUGAAAACAUAUUUACAUCACAAAACAUAUUGCAACACUACUUUCAUCCUAACACAAAUGAAAAUCCUUUUAUGGGCGACACAUCGCUUAAUCCCCUCGAGAAUUUCAAGCACGGCUAACAGCACCUGGUUUUGGCCGUCUUUCUGGCACGUCGCUAUCGCAAUCAGCACGAUCCUUGCUAUUUACCCGCUCGGGCCGUCUUUCCCCACAAUUAUCAGUACUAAGCGAAGUGGAGGAGCGGAUGAAAUAAUUACGAAUGUGAAUGCAUCAAGAUCAAAGAGCCGAUUGGAAACAAAGGCAACUUUUAGUCAAAGGGACGAAGGCUGAUUUAUAAUUUUUACACAACAACUUCCUAGCAUGAACUGGCAAAUGGGAAAAUAGAAUGAAAGAAUGAAUUAACAAAAGGUCGUUUGGAGGAAGGACGAUGCUCAAUGUGCUAAAUGGACUGUUAAGAAAAAUGGGAAUUCAUUUGCGCAGCUCGUUGAGCAUCGUUUUGCAUCUAUUUUGCGUAUUCUCAGUUCUUAGUUUUAAUUGUGCAAAGUGAUUAAGUUUUUCCCCCCUAAACAAAAACAAUUCGAGAUUAUAAUUAUGUACGCUAUGUUUGUGUGUUCAUUCUAUAUAUUGUAAUGUAUAUUUUUUUUUAAGAUACUUUAAUUGUACAUUCAUUUUACACUUGUAUCGUUUAGUUAAGCACAUUUGUUAAUUUCGUUUUGCAACUGGCAACAAUCAUAAAACCAACUCACAAAAAAAAAGAAAAACUGCUGUACCACAUCUCAAAAGAAAGAACAUUUCGAACCUGAUCUAAAUGUAGAACCAAGUCAAAUGUAACUAGCAACGGUAACUGUGUUUUAAGAAGCGUAACAUAUACAUAAAGCAUAACAACUUAUAUACAUAUAUAUACAUAUAAACAAAAAGAAUUAAGAGAAUUCUAUAGAUGUUAGAUGUGUGUUGAACAAAAACUUUGAAAUUAGCACUUAAAUUGCAAAAGAGGCAACUAAACUAAAACAGAAACAAACAAAAACAUAUAUAUUGUAAUACAUGUCACUCUCUUCUUUUUCCAAAUAUCACACUGUACUUUUCUUUCCUGAUUUCUUUACUCUUUAUUACUCUCGCCUUAACUUGCACCCACGCAAGCAAAUCACUUUCAACUUCCUCACAACACAACCCAACAAGUUGGAUAUAGUUCUUUUCUUCUUAUGUUGCGUUUCGUAUUUCCUUUUCCAAAGCGACAAAGAAACGACAUUAAAUAAAAAAAAAAACAACAACAAAAUUCUCUGUAUUCUGUGCUGUGAUUGAAGUAAAUAUGAUCUUAAAAAAAAAAACAAAAA